rnacentral:rRNA from 1 species
UACAGAGGAGCCAAGCGUUGUCCGGAUUGACUGGGCGUAAAGCGCACGCAGGCGGCUGCGCGCGUGGGGUGUGAAAUCUGGCCGCUUAACGGCCAGGCGCCAUCCCAUACGGCGUGUCUGGAGGGCUGCAGAGGUCGAUGGAAUUGCCGGUGUAGUGGUGAAAUGCGUAGAGAUCGGCAGGAACACCCAGGGGGAAGCCGGUCGACUGGGCAGCACCUGACGCUGAGGUGCGAGAGCGUGGGGAGCGAACCGG